rnacentral:rRNA from 1 species
UACGAGGGGGGCGAGCGUUGUUCGGAAUCAUUGGGCGUAAAGCGUGCGUAGGCGGUUUUGUAAGUUAGGUGUGAAAGCCCAGGGCUCAACCCUGGAAUUGCGCUUAAAACUAUGUGACUCGAAUCUCGGAGAGGAUAGCGGAAUUGUCAGUGUAGCAGUGAAAUGCGUAGAUAUUGACAGGAACACCAGUGGCGUAAGCGGCUAUCUGGACGAGUAUUGACGCUGAGGCACGAAAGCGUGGGGAUCAAACAGG